rnacentral:rRNA from 1 species
CCCUUAGAUGUUCUGGGCAGCACGCGCGCUACAAUGGUCUUCGCAAACGGAUGCAUUCUCGAAGGAGAAUGCCAAUCUUGGAAUCUAUGCCUUGGUCGGGACAGUUGCUUGCAAUUUUUCGACUCGAACCAGGAAUUCCUUGUAAUCGUGAUUCAUCACAUCACGAUGAAUACGUCCCUGCCCUUUGUACACACCGCCCGUCGCUCCUACCGAUUGAAUGGUCCGGUGAAAUCUCCGGACUGGCGUGAGUCGGAGCAAUCUGACAAACACCGGAAAGUUGAUUAAACCUUACCAUUUAGAGGAAGGUGAAGUCGUAACA